UUGGGAGUAGAUUCUAGUCGUCAUUCUAAAACAUUCCAGAAAAAAAAAUUUGGGGGGAACGGGCCUCGUUUGGGAGCUAGCGCUCCUCGAAGUUACCAUAUAAGUCCCAUAUAAGAACACCUUUAAGUGUGUGUGUAGUAAAACAACUUUGUUCUACU